rnacentral:rRNA from 1 species
GACGAACCGUGCGAGCGUUAUUCGGAAUCACUGGGCUUAAAGGGCGCGUAGGCGGGCCCGCAAGUCAGGGGUGAAAUCCUCCGGCUCAACCGGAGAAGUGCCUUUGAUACUGCGGGCCUCGAGGGAGGUAGGGGCGUGCGGAACUUCCGGUGGAGCGGUGAAAUGCGUAGAUAUCGGAAGGAACACCGGUGGCGAAAGCGGCGCGCUGGACCUCUUCUGACGCUGAGGCGCGAAAGCCAGGGGAGCAAACGGG